AAACAGCUGUCACAGAUUUCUAAAAGACUGGGACUCUAAAUGAAAACUCAAAGAAAGUGGUUUUAUUGAUUGUAUUUUUGUAGAUGCAUGAUAGCAUUGCUUUUCUUCUGUGUAAAUAAAAAGUCAAUAUACAGGAUCAGUUCUACUUGUUUUAUAUAUCGAAUAAUAGUUGUAUUGACAGUAUGGUAUUUGUUCAGUACAUAUUACAAUGUUAUAAAGCAGGUUGGCUAUAACUUUUUACCACUUAAAGUAGAUUGUAUUAGUCAUUUACCUCUCUCAAAGAUGAUUCACUGUCAUAUUUGCUGUGAUACUUUCAUAUAGCUUUCUGUUAAUUUGCAUAUUUAUAUAUAUGUGUAUAUUUUUAAAACAUAAAUUGUAUUUUAACGUACAUAUUAUGUAUCACCUCAAUUAUUUUACAAACAUUUUGGGAGAAUUUCUCUGUUGGGACACGUAGGUCUCCCUUUUUCUUUUUUUCUUUGUUUUUUGUCUUUUUAGGGCUGCACCCGCAGCAUAUGGAGGUUCCCAGGAUAGGGGUCAAAUUGGAGUUAUUGCAAUGCCAGAUCUUUACCUACUGAGUGAGGCCAGGGAUUGAACUCAUAACCUCAUGGUUCCCGGUAGGAUUCCUUUCCGCUGCACCACGAUGGGAACUCCCUCCCUUUUCCUUUUUAACAUCUACAUAUAACUCUGUAAAACAGAUUAUCAUGAUAUAUAAAAAAUUCUUUAAUUGAAAGAUAUUUAAGGAGUUCCUCUUGUGGCUCAGUGGUAAUGAACUCAACUAGUAUCCAUGAGGAUGUGGUUCAAGCCCUGGCCGCACUCAGCGGGUUAAGGAUAUGGCGUUGCCAUGAGUUUUGGUCACAGUUGAGGCUCAGGUCCCAUUUGCUGUGGCUGUGGUGUAGGCCGGCAGCUGCAGCUCUGAUUUAACCCCUAGCCUGGAAACUUCCAUAUGCUGUGCGUGUGGCCCCCCAAAAUUUUUGUUUGAUACAGCACACACCUCUUAAAACUACCAGUGUUUUAAUUGUCAUUUCCUUUUUAUUGCUUCUCCUUUUUCUUUAUUUCAGAUCUUGUUUAUUAGUGUUCUUCAGAGGUCAUGGAUUAUCUUUGCUUCUCUCCAUUUUUAUGAAUUUAUUCUUUAUUUUCUCCAUCUUUUGGGAAAGAGAAACUCACCAUAUGGAAUACACAAUUUUUAUUGUACUUAAAGUUACUUGCUUCUUGAAAUAUGUUAUUGUGGCUGAAGGAUAAGAACUACAAGAAAGCUUUGACUCAGAUAAUCACAAUUCUUCUAAUCCUUUCAUAGUGUCUUCUUUCAAAUGUGCCGCUGCAGUAUAGGGUUUGGAGUAUCGCUGUUGUCAACAGUUGUUUAUUUUGUGAAAUAAAUGGUUAUUUCAUGUAAAAAAUGUUUUUGGACAAGUGAUGUAUUUUUAGUUGCUACAGUGACCACUGGGAUUGGCUGGGCAAGGGGGGAUAGGGCAGGAUGUGGAUUCAGCUCAGAGAGUCCUAGGCAUAGAGAUCCUGAUGGUGCAGUCCUGGAAAUAGCCACCAGGUGGUGCCAGGCUGCAUCAACUGCUUCAGGAUGCAGUGUCCAAGGCUGGGAACUGGAGUCUGUCAGUGAUUCCAGGGGACACUGGGGUGGGCCUCCAGAGGGCUGGUAGGCAGGGAGCCUCAGCCCCAGAAGGGUUUCUCUCUGAUUGAGGAAGCCUCGCCUCUGGGCUGAAGCCAGGCCUUGGUGGUACCCACCUGUUGAGAUGCAGGUGGAUGGUCACAGUGUAGGGGCAAGGAACAGCCCCACCAACUCGGCAGGUCAGUACCCAACUCCUUCCCAGGCAUGAAGGGUCCCGGCCAUCAGCUUACUAUGCCAAAGCUCCGCCAGAGGUUGCCCCUGCAGUUGCUGAGGGCCACCUCGCCUCCUGGAAGACAACGUGGACAUUCGUGCAGCCCAGCUGAGCACUGGAGGGAGUCCUUGUGCCCAAAGUCCUCGCAUCUCCUGGUUCCUCUGAUAGGUCAUGGGCUCCAAUCGGUUUUUUUUUUUUUUUUUUUUUUGUCUUUUUGCUGUUUAUUGGGCCUCUCCACGGCAUAUGGAGGUUCCCAGGCUAGGGUCGAAUUGGAGCUGUAGCCGCCGGCCUACGCCAGAGCCACAGCAACGCGGGAUCCGAGCCAUGUCUGCAACCUACACCACAGCUCACGGCAACGCCGGAUCCUUAACCCACUGAGCAAGGCCAGGGAACGAACUCGCAACCUGGUUCCUAGUCGGAUUCGUUAACCACUGCACCACGACGGGAACUCCUCCAAUCUGUUUUUUUUUUUCACAGCUUCUUCACUGGCAGUGUGUCCAUGUGUAGGUCAGUCUUACAUCCCAUGAUGGGCAGCUCCUUGCAGAAGUGACUCAGCUCUGGGUACCACUGGACCAAGAUGUUAGAGCUGUCUGGGCUGAUGACUUGGAAGCAAAGGAGCUGGCACCAGGGUAGAACAGAUGUGCAUCCCAUCCUGAUCAGCUUCUCUGGCUGUGUCUCCUGUCCUGCUGUAGCAUUUGGGGCAGCAAUGUGGAAGAAGUGGGGUGGCAGGAGGAAGUUGAACAUUUUUUAAUAUUAAUUUUUUUCUUUUAAAAUUCUGUCUGUUAUAUCAAAACACUUCACAGGCUGUCAUAUAUCUAAAAUCUCGGGCACAGUUAUUCAUAAUAGCAUUUGGAUAUUUCAAAUUUAGUUUAAGGUUGCCUUAAAACUUGAUGACUAAAUGGCAGAAAGAAAAUUAAAAUCAUCAUUUCUGCUCAGUUUAGCCUAAUUUAAUCCCAAAUUAGUAUUACUGGGCCUGUUAUUGGCAUUUAGGUUUCACAGGCCUCAUAUUCUUAGCCAUUAGUGUAUAAAUAUCAAAACCCAAUCCUUACUUAAGGGUAUAAAAAUAAGAACUCAGAUGUUUGUAAAACGUUUUAUAAAUUUGCAGUGCUUUUAAUUCCUAAUAUUAAUACUAUGUUCUGAUGUUCUAAGUGUUGUACAAACCAGAAUUGUUGAAAGCGUGGAUAAUGCAUUUCUAUUUUCAGCCAUUAAGGAACAUCCAUAGUAAAAGGUAAUUAUUGUCCCUCAAUUAUGAAACAUUAGGUUGUGAUGCUGUGCAGAAAUGUUGUUUAAUUGUAACAGAACAGCCUGGGAUGACAUGGUGACAAUGGCUAGAAAAACUAGGUUUAAGGGCUUUUCAAGCUGUGCUUGCUUCAUUAAUGUGGAACUGUCAUUUUUGCUGACUUCUGGUUACUUGUCGAGGAACUGACAGGGGAAAAGUAUCUAUCUCUAGUUUCUAACGCUAAUAUUAAUCUAAUCAUAUACCCAGCGUCUUUCUCUCUUAUAUAACAAAUUAUUAAUCUACCUCUCAAUGUCCCUGACAGAAAGAAUAAGGGAACUUUUAAUUUUAUGUUAUGCUUUUUUUAGGGCUGCACCCAUGCAUAUGGAUGUUCCCAGGCUGCAUCUGUGACCUAUACCACAGCACAUGGCAACGCCAGAUCCUUAACUCACUGAGCAGGAGCAGGCAUCGAACCUGCAUCCUCAUGGUUACUAGUCAGGUUCGUUACUGCUGAGUCACAGCAGGAGCUUCAAAUGGACUUUUUAAAAAACACAACACUAUAUUUUCUCAGUGCCCACUGUUAGAACUGUCAUUUGUUGACCAUUUUUGUGCCAGAUAAUUUACAGACCUCUUCUACGAUCCACGGAACUACAGCAUAGGAUAACAUUUGUUAUCCUGUUCUAUAGUGAUGACUAUUUCUUGUAGUUACAUAUGAAAAAUUAUGAAGUGGUUUUGAGGCUGCAUGUUAUCUUCCUGUGGAGAGAAUUUACCUUUGCUUCUGGGAUGCAGGAAGUUUGGAGGAAGAAUGCUUCUGAUUCACUUGGGAUUGAAUUGAUUUGCAGCUAUUUUUAAAUUUUUGCAAAUACUGUUCUAUUUCCAGUUGCACUUAUCCUAUAGCACAGUCCCUGCUGAGUUCUACGUGAAAGUUAGGAGGGUUUACUAGGCUCUUCCCCUUUCUGGGCUCUGUCUUUAUUUUCACAGUCCACUGAGACCACUGAACUCUCUGCUAAACUCUGCUCACUUUUUGGCCUCUGAGUUACUGUCUGUUUGGCUUUUCAGCUUCUUGGCCACCACUUAAAAAAAGCCAAAGACUGAAGGGAAAAAUACAUUGAUGAAUUUUGUAUUUCUUUUUCCUUGGGGAUAUUGGUUCCUCAGGUCUUUGCUGUAUUGAUAGCAGAUUGCCUUCAGUUUUUGUUUUGUCUUGUUUUUUAAUCUAUCUGUGUUUUCUAGUGUUUUCCGAGGGCAAUGGUCUGACGCCAGGUAGUCCCGCAUAUCUGUAAGUAGAAAUCUUUCAUGGAGGCUUUGUCUGGAAGGUCAUUGAUUUUUUUUCUGGAAACAAACUCCACCAUUUUUCUGGAAUCACAUUGACUUUGUUGUUGCCCCAACUGUACCAAUAACAAUUCAUGAUCCACGAAACCUAAAGUAAUAUAUUGCUUUCUACAAAAUUUCUCUUAUGUGGAAAGCUCUGUCCACCUCCCAGUUGGUUGACAGGUACCCCGUUUCAAAUGCUGCUGUAGCUAUGGUUGAAACAGCCAGCAGAGAGAUAAACCGUAAGAUUAGAGGAUGACAGUUCUCAAGACUUCCUUUGACCCAUGUUCUGAUUGCAAAUUAGAAUAGGCCGGAUAUUUAUUAAAGCAAAUAAAAUGCAAUAUUUCAAAUGUAUCGUAUCAAAUUUGAAUUUCAUUACAUUGCUUGAUAUUUUUUUCCUAACAAGUCAAUCCAUGAGGCACUAAAUCAUACUGUGGUGAUCACCCAUGGCUGUAUUAGAAUCACUUGGAGAGUUUGAAAAAUAAACUAUACUCCAGGUGCCAUCCUUAGAGAUUUUGAUUGAAUUGAUCUGGGUAGGGCACAGCUGUCUUCCUGCUUUAUAUCCCUGAUCUGAAUCCUACUUAACUAAAGCGUUUUCUUCUCUAAAAUUUUCAUCUAUAUCUCUGAUCUAUUUUUUCUCUUAAUCUGAAUUUAUAAGCUUUCUAUACCCUUAAAGUAAUAGAAUACUUAUUUAUAUGUUAAUUCCUUAUCAAAUUAUCUUACGCAUAUCUUUCCUCACCGCUAAAUUGUCAGCUCUUUGAUUAGGGACCAUAUCUCAAAUUUACUUUGUAUAAUCAUUGAUCCAGCCCAGUCCCUGGCAAAGAGAAGGUACAUGAAUGUGAAAAAAAAAAAAAAAAAAAGGCAGGAAAAAAUGUCACUUAGAGAAAGCACUACCUUUGCUUAAGAAAAUACUUGGUAAACCAUUUGUGAUAGAAUGUGAGAACCUGAAGCUGGUAUUAGUAAAAGAACACACCUGAGGCAACAGAGGAGUUUGUUAAAUAUCCUUGCUUUAGAGAUGAAGAAAAAUCCAGGGAUGAGGACAAAGCAAAGGCUGGAUGAGACAGAAGUUGAGAGUAGAGAGGUG
rnacentral:lncRNA from 1 species